rnacentral:rRNA from 1 species
CCUACGGUGGGCUGCAGUGAGGAAUAUUGGUCAAUGGACGAGAGUCUGAACCAGCCAAGUAGCGUGAAGGAUGACUGCCCUAUGGGUUGUAAACUUCUUUUAUAUGGGAAUAAAAUGUUCUACGUGCGGGAUUUUGUAUGUAUCAUAUGAUUACAGAUCGGCUAACUCCUUGCCCGCAGCCGCGGUAAUACGGAGGAUUCGAGCGUUAUCCGGUUUUAUUGGGUUUAAAAGGAGCGUAGGUGGAUUGUUAAGUCAGUUGUGAAAGUUUGCGGCUCAACCGUAAAAUUGCAGUUGAAACUGGCAGUCUUGAGUACAGUAGAGGUGGGCGGAAUUCGUGGUGUAGCGGUGAAAUGCUUAGAUAUCACGAAGAACUCCGAUUGCGAAGGCAGCUCACUGGACUGCAACUGACACUGAGGCUCGAAAGUGUGGGUAUCAAACAGGAUUAGAUACCCUUGUAGUC